ACUCAAUAGAUACCCAGGUAGUCCUGGCAGUAAACGGUGCGCGUUUGGUGUGGGAGGAUUCGACCCCUUCUGUGCCGGAGCUAAACGCGUUAAACGCGCCGCCUGGGGAGUACGGUCGCAAGAUUAAAACUCAAAGAAAUUGACGGGGGCCCGCACAAGCGGUGGAGUAUGUGGCUUAAUUCGAUGCAACGCGAAGAACCUUACCUAGCCUUGACAUGCAUCUCUAAGUCGGUGAAAGCCGGCGACUAUAGCAAUAUAGAAUUUGCACAGGUGCUGCAUGGCUGUCGUCAGCUCGUGUCGUGAGAUGUUGGGUUUAAGUCCCGCAACGAGCGCAACCCCUGUGAACUGUUGCCACCACACUUCGGUGUGAGCACUCUGUUCAGACUGCCCUGUGAAACGGGGGAGGAAGGUGGGGAUGACGUCAAGUCAGCAUGGCCCUUACGGCUAGGGCUGCACACGUACUACAAUGCUCAGUACAGAACGAACCGAAACCGCGAGGUGGAGGAAAUCCCUAAAACUGAGCUCAAUUC
rnacentral:rRNA from 1 species